rnacentral:rRNA from 1 species
CCUACGGGGAGCUGCAGUGGGGAAUAUUGGACAAUGGGCGAAAGCCUGAUCCAGCCAUGCCGCGUGUGUGAAGAAGGCCUUCGGGUUGUAAAGCACUUUCAGUGGGGAAGAAAGCCUUGGGGCUAAUACCCUCGAGGAAGGACAUCACCCACAGAAGAAGCACCGGCUAACUCCGUGCCAGCAGCCGCGGUAAUACGGAGGGUGCGAGCGUUAAUCGGAAUUACUGGGCGUAAAGCGCGCGUAGGCGGUCUGAUAAGCCGGUUGUGAAAGCCCCGGGCUCAACCUGGGAACGGCAUCCGGAACUGUCAGGCUAGAGUGCAGGAGAGGAAGGUAGAAUUCCCGGUGGAGCGGUGAAAUGCGUAGAGAUCGGGAGGAAUACCAGUGGCGAAGGCGGCCUUCUGGACUGACACUGACGCUGAGGUGCGAAAGCGUGGGUAGCAAACAGGAUUAGAUACCCUUGUAGUC